GAGUUUGAUCGUGGCUCAGGAUGAACGCUAGCGGCAGGCUUAACACAUGCAAGUCGAACGAACCCUUCGGGGUUAGUGGCGGACGGGUGAGUAACACGUGGGAACGUACCCUUAGGUUCGGAAUAACUCAGGGAAACUUGAGCUAAUACCGAAUGUGCCCUUCGGGGGAAAGAUUUAUCGCCUUUGGAGCGGCCCGCGUCUGAUUAGCUAGUUGGUGAGGUAAAGGCUCACCAAGGCUACGAUCAGUAGCUGGUCUGAGAGGAUGACCAGCCACACUGGGACUGAGACACGGCCCAGACUCCUACGGGAGGCAGCAGUGGGGAAUCUUGCGCAAUGGGCGAAAGCCUGACGCAGCCAUGCCGCGUGGAUGAUGAAGGUCUUAGGAUUGUAAAGCACUUUAAGUUGGGAGGAAGGGCAGUAAGCUAAUACCUUGCUGUUUUGACGUUACCGACAGAAUAAGCACCGGCUAACUCUGUGCCAGCCGCCGCAGUAAG
rnacentral:rRNA from 1 species